rnacentral:rRNA from 1 species
UACGAAGGGGGCUAGCGUUGCUCGGAAUCACUGGGCGUAAAGCGCACGUAGGCGGGUCGUUAAGUCAGGGGUGAAAUCCUGGAGCUCAACUCCAGAACUGCCUUUGAUACUGGCGAUCUCGAGUUCGGGGAGAGGUGAGUGGAACUGCGAGUGUAGAGGUGAAAUUCGUAGAUAUUCGCAAGAACACCAGUGGCGAAGGCGGCUCACUGGCCCGAUACUGACGCUGAGGUGCGAAAGCGUGGGAGCAA